rnacentral:rRNA from 1 species
AUGCUUUACACAUGCAAGUCGAACGGCAGCGCGAACUUCGGUUUGGCGGCGAGUGGCGAACGGGUGAGUAAUAUAUCGGAACGUACCCAGUAGCGGGGGAUAACUACUCGAAAGAGUAGCUAAUACCGCAUACGCCCUACGGGGGAAAGGGGGGGAUCGCAAGACCUCUCACUAUUGGAGCGGCCGAUAUCGGAUUAGCUAGUUGGUGGGGUAAAGGCUCACCAAGGCGACGAUCCGUAGCUGGUUUGAGAGGACGACCAGCCACACUGGGACUGAGACACGGCCCAGACUCCUACGGGAGGCAGCAGUGGGGAAUUUUGGACAAUGGGGGAAACCCUGAUCCAGCCAUCCCGCGUGUGCGAUGAAGGCCUUCGGGUUGUAAAGCACUUUUGGCAGGAAAGAAAUCGCAUGGGUUAAUAACCUGUGUGGAUGACGGUACCUGCAGAAUAAGCACCGGCUAACUACGUGCCAGCAGCCGCGGUAAUACGUAGGGUGCAAGCGUUAAUCGGAAUUACUGGGCGUAA